rnacentral:rRNA from 1 species
UUGAGGAUAAAUUAUGUCUAAUAUUCAAACUGGCGCCGAGCGUAUGCCGCAUGACCUUUCCCAUCUUGGCUUCCUUGCUGGUCAGAUUGGUCGUCUUAUUACCAUUUCAACUACUCCGGUUAUCGCUGGCGACUCCUUCGAGAUGGACGCCGUUGGCGCUCUCCGUCUUUCUCCAUUGCGUCGUGGCCUUGCUAUUGACUCUACUGUAGACAUUUUUACU